rnacentral:lncRNA from 1 species
CUCCAUCUGACAAUAAUGGAAAUUGUCAGAAGUUUUCAUUUUCUCACAAUUUAGCUCACUCACAAUGGCUGUCAGACAGCCGGAUGAUCUGACGCAGCACACUGCUAAUCGUUUCAGCAGAAGACAGUGUUUCAAAAGCUUGUGAAGUCUGUAGCUAAAUCUCAGGAACAGAAAUGUUGAGAAGGGUAGACUGAUGACUACCCCUCAGUGGAAACAGACCAGAUCUCAGCUUAUCUGGCUGGACAGAUUCAAGCCAAUCUGUGAUUUGUAAAAUAAGCAAGGUGCAGUCUUGUGACAGUCAGGGGUUGUGACUGGCACAAAAGGAGCAAGAUCUGUUUCUAGAAGAGAGGUAAUUUUGGAAAGGAUCAUUCAAAUUAACGUAUGUGAAGCACCUAACAUAACAGACCCUUGGUAAAUGGUAGCAAAGAAGAUUAUGAUCAUUAGGAGCUCCUGAGAGAGGGCAGGUGCCACAGGAAGGGAUUGGACCAGAUCAACAUUUCAGUGUCUUCUGAGGAUUAUAAUUUCUGGAAGUUGCUCCCAGAUGGGGGACAACUUUCAACCUA